rnacentral:tRNA from 1 species
GUCAUGGUAGUUUAGAACCAAACCACUAGGUCGUGGCCCUAGCAACAGAAGAACUCAUUAAAACCUUCUCCAUGACC